AGAAUCAACGCUGGCGGCGUGCCUCAGACAUGCAAGUCGAACGAUUAAACUUUCCUUCGGGAAAGAUAUAAAGUGGCGCACGGGUGAGUAACACGUAAGUAAUCUGCCUUUGAGUGGGGAAUAACCCGGGGAACCCGAGCUAAUACCGCAUAAUGCAGCGGCAUCGCAAGGUGACAGUUGUUAAAGGAGCAAUCCGCUUAAAGAGGAGCUUGCGGCAGAUUAGCUGGUUGGUAAGGUAAUGGCUUACCAAGGCUACGAUCUGUAACCGGUCUAAGAGGACGGUCGGUCACACUGACACUGAAUACGGGUCAGACUCCGUACGGGAGCAGCAGUCGGGUAAUUUGGGACUAAGUGGGACGUAAAGCCUAGACCCGAGCCAACGCCGCGUACGAAGGUAUCGAAGUAGUUUCGGUAUAGUAAACUUACGAAAAGUAAGUAAGGAAGAAGUAAAGU
rnacentral:rRNA from 1 species